rnacentral:rRNA from 1 species
GACAGAGGGUGCAAACGUUGUUCGGAAUUACUGGGCGUAAAGCGUGUGUAGGCGGCCCCGCAAGUCGGAUGUGAAAGCCCCGGGCUCAACCUGGGAAGUGCAUUCGAAACUGCGGGGCUGGAGUCCUGGAGAGGAAGGCGGAAUUCUCGGUGUAGAGGUGAAAUUCGUAGAUAUCGAGAGGAACACCGGUGGCGAAGGCGGCCUUCUGGACAGUGACUGACGCUGAGACACGAAAGCGUGGGGAGCAAACGGG